ACUAGUUACAGUGGUUCGAUUGCAUCGGAAAGGCACAACCACUCUAUUGGCAUCAGAUUCUUCAGGGUAAAGAUGGGGUUGGACCCAAUAACUGUUAGGUGAGGAACCCAAUAACAACUUUGCACUCGCUGGUGAAUGGUGGGUCAGACUUAACUAAAAAAUACGUCAAUAACUAUUAGGUGAGGUCACAGAACUUAGAGAUCAAGUCACUG
rnacentral:lncRNA from 1 species